rnacentral:rRNA from 1 species
CCUACGGGUGGCAGCAGUGAGGAAUAUUGGUCAAUGGCCGCAGGGCUGAACCAGCCAAGUCGCGUGAGGGAUGACGGUCCUAUGGAUUGUAAACCUCUUUUGUCAGGGAGCAAAGGGCGCCACGUGUGGCGUUUUGCGAGUACCUGAAGAAAAAGCAUCGGCUAACUCCGUGCCAGCAGCCGCGGUAAUACGGAGGAUGCGAGCGUUAUCCGGAUUUAUUGGGUUUAAAGGGUGCGUAGGCGGCCUUUUAAGUCAGCGGUGAAAGUCUGUGGCUCAACCAUAGAAUUGCCGUUGAAACUGGGAGGCUUGAGUAUGUUUGAGGCAGGCGGAAUGCGUGGUGUAGCGGUGAAAUGCUUAGAUAUCACGCAGAACCCCGAUUGCGAAGGCAGCCUGCCAAGCCAUGACUGACGCUGAUGCACGAAAGCGUGGGGAUCAAACAGGAUUAGAUACCCCUGUAGUC